GGGUUACGCGGGGAAGUGAAACAUCUCAGUACCCGUAGGAAGAGAAAAUGAUAAUGAUUCUGCUAGUAGUGGCGAACGAACGUGGAUGAGGCUAAACCGUGUGCAUGUGAUACCUGGUAGGGGUUGUGUGUGCGGUGUUGUGGGCCCUGAUGAGGAUGGCUACUGACGUCCUGCCCGCGCAUUGUUGUUAGGUGAAGUGGUGUGGAAACGCCUGCCGUAGAAGGUGAUAGUCCUGUAGCUGAAGAUGAUGGUGUGUGGGUUGUUGGGUUGCCCGAGUAGCAGCGGGCUCGUGGAAUCUGCUGUGAAUCUGCCGGGACCACCCGGUAAGCCUAAAUACUCAGUGUGACCGAUAGUGGAUAGUACCGUGAGGGAAUGGUGAAAAGUACCCCGGGAGGGGAGUGAAAUAGUUCCUGAAACCAUGUGCUUACAAUCCGUCAGAGCACUUUUUGUGUGUGAUGGCGUGCCUUUUGAAGA
rnacentral:rRNA from 1 species